UGGUAGAUACCCUGGUGGUGGUGGUGGCGGCCGUGGUGGUGGUGGAUACACUGGUGGUGGUAGUGGCGGAGGCCGUGGUGGUGGUAGAUACUCCGGCGGUGGUGGACGUGGCGGUGGCGGUGGCCGCGGUGGACGUGGUGGUGGUGGCCGGAAGUGUUGUUCCUAGAUACAAAGGUGAAUGAAUAUAGUAAUAUAUAGUUAUCACCUUGUACUAAUUAGUGGCAAGAUGUAUUAGUAGUAAUAUUCUUGCUGCUUUUUGGAGCUUAUUGUAAGAAAAAAUUAUUAUCAUGAAAUAAAAGCCAUCAUGUAAUGUUUG
rnacentral:misc_RNA from 1 species